rnacentral:rRNA from 1 species
UACGGAGGGUGCAAGCGUUAUCCGGAUUCACUGGGUUUAAAGGGUGCGUAGGUGGGUUGGUAAGUCAGUGGUGAAAUCUCCGUGCUUAACAUGGAAACUGCCAUUGAUACUACUGAUCUUGAAUUUUCUGGAGGUAAGCGGAAUAUGUCAUGUAGCGGUGAAAUGCUUAGAUAUGACAUAGAACACCAAUUGCGAAGGCAGCUUACUACAGGGACAUUGACACUGAGGCACGAAAAGCGUGGGGGAUCAAACAGG